rnacentral:misc_RNA from 1 species
UCGAGCGUCAUUACAACCCUCAAGCACUGCUUGGUAUUGGAUGUAACCAGACAUCUGGCGCGUCCCAAAAUUAUCAGCGGUAGCACUUGGCUUCUAGUGUAGUAAUUCUCUCGCUAUGGAGCUCUAGUUGUAUACCUGCUAGAACCCUAAAUAUAUCAAAGGUUGACCUCGGAUCAGGUAGGGAUACCCGCUGAACUUAA